GUUCUGCCUUCUAGGAGGAAGCCCAGGCCUCGUGGGGAGGCUUCCUGAAGCUCUGCCAGCAAGCCCAGCUUCAGCUGCAGACGUGGUAGGGACGUCACCUCCAGUGGAGUCCAGCUCCUAGUGUUAGUAUCAACCCCAACUGUAACGAUAAGGCUUUGUAUUACACCUGGCCUUCCCAGAUGGCUCAGUGGUAAAGAAUCUACCUGCCAGUGCAGAAGACACAGGAGACAUGAGUUCCAUCCCUGGGUUGGGACGAUCCCCUGGAAACGAAAUGGCAACCCACUCCAGUAUUCUUGCCUUGAAAAUCCCAUGGACAGAGGAACCUGGUGGGCUACCAGCCAUGGGGUUUCAAAGAAUCAGAUGUUAUUGAACACAGAGGUACACACACACAAUACGGGAUUCCAUGCCUUGGGCAUGGAAUUAAUUUGUUUUAAAUGCGGCAACUUUUAAUGGGGUAAUUUGUUUUAAAUGGGGCAACUUUUGGAGAAGGAAAUGGCAGCCCACUCCAGUAUUCUUGCCUGGAAUAUCCCAUGGACAGAGGAGCCUGGUAGGCUACAGUCCAUGUGGUCGCAAAGAGUUGGACAUGACUGAGUGACUUCAUUUUCACUUUUUCAUCUUUCUCUUAAAGUUUUCGCUUCUGUGUUUUAGGGGGCUGGUCACUUAUCAUUCUAUAGCCACUGUUCAUGACCAUGAGAAUGGGGAUUGAUUAGGUGUUGAAUUGUGACCCAGAACACACAUUUAAUCCUAGAGUUUUGGGUGGUCUAAAAUUCUUCAUGUAGAAAAACAAUACACUUUCACCUAACCUACAGCUGAAAACACAGUGAAUUGUUUUUUGUUACUUGUUCAGUGAAUAGCCAGGCUUUACACACAAUAACAGAUAAAUUGUUACAUGAAUUGGCAGAGAUUGAGAGAUAAGUAAGUCUGUACAUGUAGGUGCAUAUGGAGAAAAGGAAGUAAUAUAUGUAGAGAAGGAGAGAAAGAUUUACAUAAUUUGAUAAGUAUAUGUAUUUUACAGUAAGAAUAUGACAUUUUGCAAUUGAAUUUCAAUUAAUGCUUUUUAUUUCAACUGGAACGUAUUUUGAAUUAUUUGAUCUAGAAAUAUCUGGUUACUUAGAAAUUUUAGAAAUGAUAUAUAUACAGGAAUAGAAUUCAUUUUCUUGUCAACAUGUUAGCCUUGUUCCUCUUCACCCUGAGACGUUCACAAACAACUGUAUUUGGGGGGCAGGCCUUUUUCUCUCAUAUACAUUAUUUUCUUAAUCAAAGAGAAAUCUGUGAACCUAGGAUUCCUUAGUUGAGAAAAAAUAUUUACUUUGAAAAGCCCAGUUUGUCCAUAGAAACACAGUUUCUGGACAGUAGCAGUUGGACUCAUCCUGUGCAGAGUCCAGUUCACUCUGAAAGUUCUGUGAUGAAUCAUCUCCACUGUAAUGUGAUAAUGCACAUUCUGCACCAG
rnacentral:lncRNA from 1 species